GUUUGUUAAACGCUCGAAAGUCGUUGCUUCGGUGAGGGGCCUUACCUAUACAAAGUAUUCUCAAAACAACACUUUGUGGCAACCACAUAAGCCUACUCAGAGUCAGACUGCUCCUAUUCUGGAAUAUCGUUGCUGCACCAUCAUCGUCAUAUCCCAUCAACUCUGGUGAUGGCUCACGACGAAAAUCUAGCGGAUGGAACACGCCUGAAAGUGACGUACUACAAGACCGCUCCGAGUCGAAAUGGUAGAGACGGAGAAACCCGUUUUACUCGUGUACCUGUUCAUGGCAAUGCGCAUCCCCGUUAUGAGGAUGUGCGUUUUGUCAUACAUAAUAUUUUCAACCUAGAUCAGACCGAACCUCUUCAGCUGUAUUGGAAAGUCCCGGGUGAGGGCAGUGUCUACAAUAUCAACUCGGAUGAUGAGCUUACUGAAGCCAUUCCCCGAAUGGAGAGAGAUGGUCAAUCU